CCUACGGGGGGCAGCAGUGGGGAAUAUUGCGCAAUGGGCGAAAGCCUGACGCAGCGACGCCGCGUGAGGGAUGAAGGUCUUCGGAUCGUAAACCUCUGUCAGCAGGGAAGAACGGUCACGGGGCUAAUCAGCAGUGAAUGGACGGUACCUGCAAAGGAAGCACGGGCUAACUCCGUGCCAGCAGCCGCGAUAAGACGGAGGGGGCGAGCGUUAAUCGGAAUUACUGGGCGGAAAGCGCUCGUAGGCGGUAUGUCAAGUCAAGGGUGAAAUCCCCGCGCUCAACGUGGGAACUGCCUUUGAAACUGGCAACCUGGAUUGUGUGCGAGGAUAGUGGAAUUCCAGGUGUCGGCGU
rnacentral:rRNA from 1 species